GCAGCAAAGGCUUAUUUAUGCUGGAAAACAGCUAGCAGAUGACAAGACAGCUAAAGACUAUAAUAUCGAAGGUGGUUCUGUUCUUCACCUUGUUCUUGCACUUAGGGGUGGCAGACUCUAGGUUGCACUUAACUUGGUGAAAACUUAGAUGUCCUGUCUUUAUUCCAUGAACUUGGGAUGAACAUUUCUUCUCUUCCCUUUUUUGGUGAUGUACUAUUGGAAUAAACAGGAAAAAACAUGUGUUUGAACAUUUUGUGAUUGUCUGCACCUUGUGUUAAAUUCAGG
rnacentral:misc_RNA from 1 species